rnacentral:rRNA from 1 species
UACAGAGGGUGCAAGCGUUAAUCGGAAUUAUUGGGCGUAAAGCGCACGUAGGUGGAUAAGUAAGUUGGAUGUGAAAGCCCUGGGCUUAACCUGGGAAUGGCAUUCAAGACUGCUUGUCUAGAGUAUGGGAGAGGGAAGUGGAAUUUCUGGUGUAGCGGUGAAAUGCGUAGAUAUCAGAAGGAACAUCAGUGGCGAAGGCGACUUCCUGGCCCAAUACUGACACUAAGGUGCGAAAGCGUGGGGAGCAAACAGG